AGGGAGGGGAAGGGACCUGCUUGCGGUCUCACAGCUAAGAAGUGGCAGAGUACGGAUUCUCAUCCAGAUCUGAUGAACUCAGAGACCACCUUCUUUUUCAUUGACUCCAUGUUUUCUAUGUAGUCACUGGCAACAAAAAGAAUAUGUAAUAUUAGUGACUGUUUUGCCAGACAUUUGACACCUAUCAUCACAUUGAUCUUCUCGAGAAUUCUAUGAGGCAGCCAGCACUGUCAACGGGAAGCCCAGUACCUGGCUGUCCAGGGACCCAAAGAAGAUUCUGCUGCCAUUGCCAGAGCCCCCAGGAGGGCAGUUGGGGGUGCAGACACAGCUUUGAUGCCUGGAAGCUUUCUCCAAAUUCCAGUCUUGUGACAUCCAUCCCUGCCUUACAGAGAGCGUGACCGCUCCAGGUGGGGUCUGCAUACUAAUAUCCCUUGGCAGGUGUUUCUGUUUUUUAUUUUUUGUUUUGGGGAGGAGAAAAAAAUCCUUAGUACUCUCUCUCUCUCUUUCUUAGCAGUUUUAUUGAGAUAUAAUUGUAUACCAAAAAACCCUGCACUUGUUUAAUUUAUACAAUUUGAUGAGAUUGAACAUAUGCAUAUGUACCCGUGAUACCAUCUCCACAAUCAAGGUAAUAAACAUAUCC